UUAUUAAAGAGUUGACGCAAGUUGAUAAUUUUUUGUAUUUUGAUUUGCAUUAACAAAAUUAAAUAUGAAGUGGAUUGAAAAUGAAGCUAAGUAUUUAAGGUUUAGUUGAAAGACUAAAUUUCUUUGUACUGUUUGCAACUAAAUUAGAACUGUAACGGAGAAGAGGAAUCCGACUGUUUAAUUAAAACGAAGCGUUGUGUUUUGACUUUAUUGUUCUAGACACAACGUGAUUUCUGCCCAGUGCUUUAUUUGUAAAAUUGUAGAAAUACAGCGAAGCAUAGGUAAACGGCGGGAGUAACUAUGACUCUCUUAAGGUAGCCAAAUGCCUCGUCAUCUAAUUAGUGACGCGCACGAAUGGAUCAACGAGAUUCCUACUGUCCCUAUUUACCACUUGGCGAAACCACAGUCAGGGGAACGGGCCUGACAAAAACUAUGGGGAAAGAAGACCCUGUUGAGCUUAACUCUAAUCAUAAAUUGUGAAACGAUGCGAAAGGUAUAGUCGUAGGUGGGAGUCCUCGGACGUAUUUGAAAUACCACCACUUUUGACGUUGCUUUACUUACAAUUCAGGUAAGAUAAAUAAUCGAAAGAUUAUUGAUUUCUUGAAAGAAAAGAAAUUCACGUUUGAGGCUUUAAUGGGUUUACCUGUUUUAGUUCUUUGAUCCUCUGAAUUCAAGACUUAUGAAUUGGACAGUUUAUGGUGGGGAGUUUGGCUGGGGCGGCACAUUUAAUAAAUAGUAACUUAAGUGUCCAAAGUGCAACUCAAAGAGAACGGAAAUCUCUUGUAGAGUAAAAGGAUAAAUGUUGCAUUUACUUAUAUUUUCAGUAAGAAUAUAAAUCGUGAGAGCGAGGCCUAUCGAUCCUUAUUCAUUUAUAGCCUAAAGAAUGAGGUGUCAGAAAAGUUACCAUAGGGAUAACUGGCUUGUGGCAGCCAAGAGUUCAUAUCGACGUUGCUUUUUGAUCCUUCGAUGUCGGCUCUUCUUAUCCUUGGGAAGCAGAAUUCCCAAAGGGUGUGAUUGUUCACCACCUAACAAGGAACGUGAGCUGGGUUUAGACCGUCGUGAGACAGGUUAGUUUUACCCUGUAGUUGAAAUGUACUUAUCUACAAUUAUAUCAUGACAGUAAUUGGGAUUAGUACGAGAGGAACAUCUCUUUCAGAUAUUUGGCAUAAGCAUUAAUUGAAUAGUUAGUGUGUUAUAGCUAUCAUCUGACGAAUAAGGAUUGAAGGCCUCUAAAAUCCGAAUUCGGGCUGAAUUAUUGAUAUAAUCUAUUAGGACUGUAUUGUUUCUUGU
rnacentral:rRNA from 1 species